GAUUCCCCUAGUAACUGCGAGUGAAGCGGGAAGAGCUCAAAUUUUGAAUCUGGCGGUCGUUUCGGCCGUCCGAGUUGUAAUCUAGAGAAGCGUUUUCCGCACUGGCCCGUGUACAAGUCUCCUGGAAGGGAGCGUCAUAGAGGGUGAGAAUCCCGUCUUUGACACGGACUACCAGUGCUAUGUGAUGCGCUCUCGACGAGUCGAGUUGUUUGGGAAUGCAGCUCAAAACGGGUGGUAAACUCCAUCUAAAGCUAAAUACAGGCGAGAGACCGAUAGCGAACAAGUACCGUGAGGGAAAGAUGAAAAGAACUUUGGAAAGAGAGUUAAACAGUACGUGAAAUUGCUGAAAGGGAAACGCUCGAUGUCAGUCGCGUCGGCCGGGGAUCAACCUUGCUUCUCGCUGGGUGUACUUCCUGGUCGACGGGUCAGCAUCAGUUUCGGUCGUCGUACAAUGGCGGAGGGAACGUGGCACUCUUUCGGGGGUGUGUUAUAGCCUUUCGUCGUAUGCGGCGGUCGGGACUGAGGAACUCAGCAACGACCUUCGGGUCUGUGCUUAGGAUGCUGGCAUAAUGGCCUUGAGCGACCCGUCUUGAAACACGGACCAAGGAGUCUAACAUGCAUGCGAGUGUUCGGGUGGAAAACCCGUGCGCGAAAUGAAAGUGAAAGUCGAGACCUCUGUCGUGGAGGGCACCGACGCCCGGACCCGAGUCUUUGACGACGGACCUGCGGUAGAGCAUG
rnacentral:rRNA from 1 species